AUUGAACGCUGGCGGCAUGCUUUACACAUGCAAGUCGAACGGUAACACGCCUUCGGGUUCUGAUGAGUGGCGGACGGGUGCGUAAUGCAUCGGAACGUACCCAGAGGUGGGGGUUCACGCAGCGUAAGCUGUGCUAAUAUCGCAUGUGAUCUGAGGCUGACAGCGGGGGACCGCGCAGGAAUGUUUGGCCUCGCGCCUUUGGAGCGGCCGAUGUCGGAUUAGCUAGUUGGUGGGGUAAAGGCCUACCAAGGCGACGAUCCGUAGCUGGUCUGAGAGGACGACCAGCCACACUGGAACUGAGACACGGUCCAGACUCCUACGGGAGGCAGCAGUGGGGAAUAUUGGACAAUGGGCGCAAGCCUGAUCCAGCAAUGCCGCGUGCGUGAAGAAGGCCUUCGGGUUGUAAACCGCUUUUGGCAGGAACGAAACGGUGUCGGCUAAUACCGGGCGCUAAUGACGGUACCUGCAGAAUAAGCACCGGCUAACUACGUG
rnacentral:rRNA from 1 species